GAUGAACGCUAGCGGCAGGCCUAACACAUGCAAGUCGAGGGGCAGCAUAAGGAAAGUUUACUUUCCUGGUGGCGACCGGCGCACGGGUGCGUAACGCGUAUGCAACCUACCUUACACAGGGGGAUAGCCCGGAGAAAUUCGGAUUAAUACCCUAUAGCAUUAUACUAUGGCAUCAUGGAAUAAUUAAAGCUUUGGCGGUGUAAGAUGGGCAUGCGUCCUAUUAGCUAGAUGGUGAGGUAACGGCUCACCAUGGCAACGAUAGGUAGGGGGCCUGAGAGGGUGGUCCCCCACACUGGUACUGAGACACGGACCAGACUCCUACGGGAGGCAGCAGUGAGGAAUAUUGGUCAAUGGGCGCAAGCCUGAACCAGCCAUGCCGCGUGAAGGAUGAAGGUUCUAUGGAUUGUAAACUUCUUUUAUUUGGGAAUAAACCCUCUUACGUGUAGGAGGCUGAAGGUACCAAAUGAAUAAGCACCGGCUAACUCCGUGCCAGCCGCCGCGGUAAUAC
rnacentral:rRNA from 1 species